rnacentral:rRNA from 1 species
UACGAGGGUCCAAGCGUUAUCCGGAUUUAUUGGGUUUAAAGGGUGCGUAGGCGGACUAUUAAGUCAGUGGUGAAAGCCCCAGGCCUAACCUGGGAACUGCCAUUGAUACUGAUGGUCUUGAGUACAUUUGAGGUGGGCGGAAUGUGUCAUGUAGCGGUGAAAUGGCUUAGAUAUGACACAGAACACCGAUUGCGAAGGCAGCUCACUAAACUGUAACUGACGCUGAGGCACGAAGCGUGGAGCAACAGG